CUCGCGGCCGAAAGCGAGGGGCGAGCCCGCCCGGUACCCCUGGGCGACCGCUUCCAGACUCUCCCUCCGGCCAGCAAAGGAGGGCGGGGUUGGGAAGAGGGAGGGCUACCAUGGUAACCAGAAGGCGCGUAGUGGUUAAGCCUGUCCAGCUGCUGGGCAGGCCGCCCACAAUGGAUGGCCUGCGCGGCCUUUACGCACUCGCAGUUGACCCCUCACUCCUGGCAUCCUGUGUCCUCUCCACAACAUAAACACCCCACAAGCCUCUACUUCACCCACCCCACAAAUGCUCCAAACCCAGGUGAUAAGAAAAGCCUAGACUUUCUGGGCCUCGUCUUCAAGAGUGCUGCUCUCCAGCCUCCUCUCAAAGUCAGCUCAGGUUCCCCAGGAGCUAUUUGUCAGUUAGAAACCACCCCUACAGGCAUUGCCAUGCAGGAUUUUUAGAAGCACAGUAAUGAAGAGCCUGGAGGAUUUUACUCUUGCCUAUAUUUCUUUGUAUUCCUCCCACCUUCUCACUUCUGAUUUCAUCUCAGAUCAAAAGAACCUUCCACAUGGUUGCACCACAGUGUCAGUGUUCUUACCACCAGUGACUUGUACACUUAAAAAUGGUUAAAAUGGCAAAUUUUACAUUAUGUGUAUUUUUUCACAAUUAAAAAACAAAAAGGACCUUGGAUGAACUUAGGGAGGAAAUAAAUGAAGUUCAGACUGACCUUGCCACACCCUUACCCUUUCUUUGUUCAAGGCGUUUUAGCAAAUCCUAUGCUUUCCAAAUUGGCUUCUCAGGUAACCAGGACUCCCAGCGUAAAUAAGCAGUUAUUGACUCCCUGCUCCUUCUUUUCCCCUUAUAUUUACAUCAAAGUAAUAUGCUCUCUUUACUUGUUUAUUAAU